UUGUUGGAGGUUCUGGGGCGCAGAACCGCUACUGCUGCUUCGGUGUCUCCUUGGGAAAAAAUAAAAUUUGAACCUUUUGGAGCUGUGUGCUAAAUCUUCAGUGGGACAAUGGGUUCAGACAAAAGAGUGAGUAGAACAGAGCGUAGUGGAAGAUACGGUUCCAUCAUAGACAGGGAUGACCGUGAUGAGCGAGAAUCCCGAAGCAGGCGGAGGGACUCAGAUUACAAAAGAUCUAGUGAUGAUCGGAGGGGUGAUAGAUAUGACGACUACCGAGACUAUGACAGUCCAGAGAGAGAGCGUGAAAGAAGGAACAGUGACCGAUCUGAAGAUGGCUACCAUUCAGAUGGUGACUAUGGUGAGCACGACUAUAGGCAUGACAUCAGUGACGAGAGGGAGAGCAAGACCAUCAUGCUGCGCGGCCUUCCCAUCACCAUCACAGAGAGCGAUGUAAGGGGAAAUGACAGUUAUAACCAGCAGUCAGUACACACAAUGAACUUUGAGCUUCUACCAUUAUUUUCUCAUGUUAUUGUUUUAUCUUAAGCCAAUAGAGGUUGAGUAGCCCUUAUCCAAAAUGCUUGGAACCAGAACUGUUUUGAUAUUUUUUUUUAAUAUUUGCAUUUACAUAAGUUUAAACAUUUGCAUUUACAUAAGUCUAAACAUGAAAUUCAUUUAUAUUUUGUAUAUGUCUUAUACAUGCCAAAGGUAAUUUUAUACAACACUUUAAAUAAUUUUUUUUUUUUUUUAAGAUGGAGUCUUGCUCUGUCGCCCAGGCUGGAGUGCAGUGGUGCGAUCUCGGCUCACUGCAAGCUCCGCCUCCCGGGUUCACGCCAUUCUCCUGCCUCAGCCUCCUGAGUAGCUGGGACUACAGGUGCCCGCCACCAUGCCUGGCUAUUUUUUU
rnacentral:sRNA from 1 species